rnacentral:rRNA from 1 species
GAUGAACGCUGGCGGCGUGCCUAAUACAUGCAAGUCGAGCGAACGGACGAGAAGCUUGCUUCUCUGAUGUUAGCGGCGGACGGGUGAGUAACACGUGGAUAACCUACCUAUAAGACUGGGAUAACUUCGGGAAACCGGAGCUAAUACCGGAUGAUAUUUUGAACCGCAUGGUUCAAAAGUGAAAGACGGUCUUGCUGUCACUUAUAGAUGGAUCCGCGCUGCAUUAGCUAGUUGGUAAGGUAACGGCUUACCAAGGCAACGAUGCAUAGCCGACCUGAGAGGGUGAUCGGCCACACUGGAACUGAGACACGGUCCAGACUCCUACGGGAGGCAGAAGUAGGGAAUCUUCCGCAAUGGGCGAAAGCCUGACGGAGCAACGCCGCGUGAGUGAUGAAGGUAUUCGGAUCGUAAAACUCUGUUAUUAGGGAAGAACAUAUGUGUAAGUAACUGUGCACAUCUUGACGGUACCUAAUCAGAAAGCCACGGCUAACUACGUG